ensembl:processed_transcript Gm43996 predicted gene, 43996
GGCUGUUUCAAUAUGGUCUGUUUGAUGAAAUACACAUUGAGAUUCAUAAAGAGCAGCUAAGCCUAGAAAGAUAAUGGAGGCAUAACCACCCACAUAUUCAAAGGGAUUCAAAUUCACGCUACAAGUUCAUCAUGUGAAAAUCCUUAAAAAAAAGUCCUUCAGUUGUAGAUUCCAUGGUCUCCCAGUCAUGAAAACAUAAUUAAUUUGACAAUCAAAGUUAAUCCAGCAAAGACAGUGAGCAGGAUUGUACAAGGAAAGAGUGGAAUCACAGAACUCCCAUCAGGAAAAUAAACCCAGAACAUUUAGUGUACCGAUGUGGAAUCUGUGGCAUAGACAAGUGAAGAAUUUCUUCUAUAUUCAUUUGGAGGUAAAUAAAAGAAUAAAUGAAUACACUCAAUCUUCCUAUCCAUAUAACAAAAAAUAGAAUUAUUUUAUUUAUGUUGACUCUAUAUUUGGAUUUGAAAAAUGUGAAAAUAGAAAAGGCACCCUUUGAGAAGAGAAAACGAACAGUGGGAAGAUGGAAGAAUGAACAGUGAGUGACUGUACAUCGUCAGAGUACCGUAUAAAAUAUCUGAAAAUAUCACAAUAAAAUUCAUUUUCUGCAACUG